AGUAAAUAGAUACCCAGGUAGUCCACGCCGUAAACGAUGUCGACUUGGAGGUUGUGCCCUUGAGGCGUGGCUUCCGGAGCUAAACGCGUUAAGUCGACCGCCUGGGGAGUACGGCCGCAAGGUUAAAACUCAAAUGAAUUGACGGGGGCCCGCACAAGCGGUGGAGCAUGUGGUUUAAUUCGAUGCAACGCGAAGAACCUUACCUACUCUUGACAUCCAGAGAACUUAGCAGAGAUGCUUUGGUGCCUUCGGGAACUCUGAGACAGGUGCUGCAUGGCUGUCGUCAGCUCGUGUUGUGAAAUGUUGGGUUAAGUCCCGCAACGAGCGCAACCCUUAUCCUUUGUUGCCAGCGGUUAGGCCGGGAACUCAAAGGAGACUGCCAGUGAUAAACUGGAGGAAGGUGGGGAUGACGUCAAGUCAUCAUGGCCCUUACGAGUAGGGCUACACACGUGCUACAAUGGCGCAUACAAAGAGAAGCGACCUCGCGAGAGCAAGCGGACCUCAUAAAGUGCGUCGUAGUCC
rnacentral:rRNA from 1 species